rnacentral:rRNA from 1 species
AUUGAACGCUGGCGGCAGGCCUAACACAUGCAAGUCGAGCGAGCGGCGGACGGGUGAGUAAUGUAUGGGGACUGCCCGAUAGAGGGGGAUAACUACUGGAAACGGUAGCUAAUACCGCAUACUAUCGGAUAACCCAUAUGGGAUUAGCUAGUAGGUGAGGUAAUGGCUCACCUAGGCGACGAUCCCUAGCUGGUCUGAGAGGAUGAUCAGUCACACUGGGACUGAGACAGGUCCCAGACGCCUACGGAGGCAGCAGUGGGGAAUAUUGCAGAAUGGGCGCAAGCAUGAUGCAGCCAUGACGCGGGUAUUAAGAAGGCCCUAGGGUUGUAAAGUACUUUCAUUCGGUAGGCGUUACCGACAGAAGAAGCAACGGCUAACUCCGUGCCAGCAGCCGCGGUAAUUC